rnacentral:rRNA from 1 species
UGCAAGUCGAGGGGCAGCACGAGUACUUGUACUUGGUGGCGACCGGCGCACGGGUGCGUAACGCGUAUGCAACCUACCCAUUACUGGAGGAUAGCCCAGAGAAAUUUGGAUUAAUACUCCAUAGUAUCUAGAUAUCGCAUGGUAUUAAGAUUAAAGAUUUAUUGGUAAUGGAUGGGCAUGCGUACCAUUAGCUAGUUGGUGAGGUAACGGCUCACCAAGGCGACGAUGGUUAGGGGGCCUGAGAGGGUGAUCCCCCACACUGGUACUGAGAUACGGACCAGACUCCUACGGGAGGCAGCAGUAGGGAAUAUUGGUCAAUGGAGGAGACUCUGAACCAGCCAUGCCGCGUGCAGGAAGACGGCCUUCUGGGUUGUAAACUGCUUUUGACAGGGAAGAAAACGGCUAUGCGUAGCCAAUUGACGGUACCUGUAGAAUAAGCACCGGCUAACUCCGUGCCAGCAGCCGCGGUAAUACGGAGGGUGCAAGCGUUGUCCGGAUUUAUUGGGUUUAAAGGGUGCGUAGGUGGCCCAUUAAGUCAGUGGUGAAAUUCUGCAGCUUAACUGUAGAACUGCCAUUGAUACUGGUGGGCUUGAGUAUCGUUGAGGCAGGCGGAAUUUAUGGUGUAGCGGUGAAAUGCAUAGAUAC